rnacentral:rRNA from 1 species
UACGGAGGAUGCGAGCGUUAUCCGGAUUUAUUGGGUUUAAAGGGUGCGUAGGCGGGCAUUUAAGCCGGCGGUCAAAUGUCGGGGCUCAACCCCGGCCUGCCGUUGAAACUGGGGGCCUUGAGUGGGCGAGAAGAAGGCGGAAUGCGUGGUGUAGCGGUGAAAUGCAUAGAUAUCACGCAGAACCCCGAUUGCGAAGGCAGCCUUCCGGCGCCCUACUGACGCUGAGGCACGAAAGUGCGGGGAUCGAACAGG